rnacentral:misc_RNA from 1 species
GGUGGGGAAUGAGCUUGGAGCUGGUAAGCCACACAAAGCCAAAUUGGCUGCUAUGGUUGCUUUGGGGUGUGCCUUUGUGAUUGGUAUCAUCAAUGUUACAUGGACAGUGAUCCUUAGAGAGAGAUGGGCUGGUUUGUUCAUUAAAGAUGGUCUUGUUGAAGGGUUAGUAGCAUCAGUUUUGCCCAUAAUAGGACUUUGUGAGCUGGGCAACUGUCCUCAAACAACUGGCUGUGGAAUCCUACGUGGCACGGCACGGCCUGUGAUUGGUGCCCGCAUCAACUUGGGCUCAUUCUACUUUGUGGGUACCCCAGUCGCAGUGGGCCUG